AAUCUUUGAACGCACAUUGCGCUCGCCAGUAUUCUGGCGAGCAUGCCUGUUCGAGCGUCAUUUCAACCAUCAAGCUCUGCUUGCGUUGGGGAUCCGCGGCUGCCCGCGGUCCCUCAAAAACAGUGGCGGGCUCGCUAGUCACACCGAGCGUAGUAACUCUACAUCGCUAUGGUCGUGCGGCGGGUUCUUGCCGUAAAACCCCCCAAUUUCUAAGGUUGACCUCGGAUCAGGUAGGAAUACCCGCUGAACUUAAGCAUAUCAAUAAGCGGAGGAAAAGAAACCAACAGGGAUUGCCCUAGUAACGGCGAGUGAAGCGGCAACAGCUCAAAUUUGAAAUCUGGCUUCGGCCCGAGUUGUAAUUUGUAGAGGAAGCUUUUGGUGAGGCACCUUCUGAGUCCCCUGGAACGGGGCGCCAUAGAGGGUGAGAGCCCCGUAUAGUCGGAUGCCGAUCCAAUGUAAAGCUCCUUCGACGAGUCGAGUAGUUUGGGAAUGCUGCUCAAAAUGGGAGGUAAAUUUYUUYUAAAGCUAAAUACCGGCCAGAGACCGAUAGCGCACAAGUAGAGUGAUCGAAAGAUGAAAAGCACUUUGAAAAGAGGGUUAAAUAGCACGUGAAAUUGUUGAAAGGGAAGCGUUUGUGACCAGACUUGCGCCGUUCCGAUCAUCCGGUGUU
rnacentral:rRNA from 1 species